rnacentral:rRNA from 1 species
CGUCAGUGUUAGCCCAGGGGGCUGCCUUCGCCAUCGGUAUUCCUCCACAUCUCUACGCAUUUCACUGCUACACGUGGAAUUCUACCCCCCUCUUCUACACUCUAGCUCGACAGUUUCCAACGCAGUUCCCAGGUUGAGCCCGGGGAUUUCACAUCAGACUUAUCGAACCGCCUGCGCACGCUUUACGCCCAGUAAUUCCGAUUAACGCUCGCACCCUACGUAUUACCGCGGCUGCUGGCACGUAGUUAGCCGGUGCUUCUUAUCAAGGUACCGUCAGCCUCAUCUAGUAUUAGUAGAUAAGUUUUCUUUCCUUGCGAAAGAGCUUUACAACCCGAAGGCCUUCUUCACUCACGCGGAAUGGCUGGAUCAGGGUUUCCCCCAUUGUCCAAAAUUCCCCACUGCUGCCUCCCGUAGGAGUCUGGGCCGUGUCUCAGUCCCAGUGUGGCUGGUCGUCCUCUCAGACCAGCUACGGAUCGUCGCCUUGGUGGGCCUUUACCCCACCAACUAGCUAAUCCGGCAUCGGCCGCUCCAAUAACGCGAGGUCUUACGAUCCCCCGCUUUCCCCCUCAGGGCGUAUGCGGUAUUAGCACAUCUUUCGAUGUGUUAUCCCCCAUUACUGGGUACGUUCCGGUGCAUUACUCACCCGUUCGCCACUCGCCACCAGGUGCAAGCACCCGUGCUGCCGUUCGACUUGCAUGUGUAAAGCAUUCCGCCAGCGUUCAAUCUGAGCCAGGAUCAAACUC